GCGGACGUGGUGAAAUGGUAGACACGCAAGGUUUAGGACCUUGUGGCCGUAAAAGGCUGUGGGGGUUCAAGUCCCUUCGUCCGCA
rnacentral:tRNA from 1 species